rnacentral:misc_RNA from 1 species
UCUCCGUAGGUGAACCAGCGGAGGGAUCAUUACAGAGUUCUCGCCCUCGCCGGUAGCUCUCCCACCCACUGUUAUCGUUCCUGUCGUUUCUUUGGCGGGCCGCCGGGUCGCCGGCGGCCGGCGUCUACUAGGCGGCGCGCGCCCGCAAGAGGCCAUCGUACCUUGAAUGUUAGUGUCGUCUGAGUUCUAUAUAUUAGUUAAAACUUUCAACAACGGAUCUCUUGGUUCUG